CUGUACUUGGGAUUCAGAGUAAUGAGAAGUGGCCCUUGCUCUCAAGGAGCAGUACAGAAGACAAAUAAGACAAAUUGCAAUACUUACAUGAUAAAUAGUUAAGAUUCUUGUAUGUUUGCCGAAGAACCUAAGAAUGUCGAAGGACUUAUUGCACCAAUUCAUAAUAGCGAACAAUUAGAAACCUGUACAGCUGAUUAGAGGCCGUUGGUUGCAAGCAAAAAGGAUAACUUGAGCAAAAUAAAUAAUUUAGUUGGCAAGAUGCUAAACUCACAUCGUUUGCCAAGCCCUGGGGUUUGAGAGCCAACGGUCUGCUCCAUCAGAAUCCCUUAAAGGCUGACCUUGCUGCCCUCCCCACAAGAAAAAUCUCCUAACUUCAUACAUAUCCUUAAAUAACUUGCUGUUAUACAACUUACUUGUUAUAUUAUUUGUAUAACUUGCUGUUAUAGAGCUUAAAUGUCUAUCACUAAGGAACUGAUAAAAAUGACUAUAUAUCUAGCUGGGCAUGGUGGUGCACACCUGUGGUCCCAGCUACUCUGGAGGCUGAGAUGGAAGGAUCACUUGAGCCCAGGAAUUUGAGGCUGCAGUGAUCCAAGAUCACACCACUGCACUCCAGCCUGGGCAACACAGCCAGAUCCUGUCUAAAAUUAAAAAAAAAAAAAAAGUAUGGUAUAGCCAUAUAAUGGAUUACAGCUGUUAAAAAGAAGGGUGGAUGUGUGACAUAACAAAAAUAUAUUAGAAUUGAAGACCGGGCACAGUGGCUCAUGUAUCCCAGGACUUUGGGAAGCUGAGGCUGGCAGAUCUCUUGAGCCCAGGAGUUGGAGACCAGCCUGGGCAACAUAAUGAAACCAAGUCCUACAAAAUAUACAAAAAUUAGCAGGGGUUGGUGGCAUGCAUCUGUGGUCCCAGCUACUUGGGAGGCUGAGGCAAGAGGAUUGCUUGAGCCCUGGAGGCUGCAGUGAGCCAUGAUAGCAACACUGCAUUCUACCCUGGGUGACAGAGCGAGACCCUCUCUCAAAUAAAAUAAUGAAAUGAAAAAAAAUCUAAGUACAGCAGCAG
rnacentral:lncRNA from 10 species